rnacentral:rRNA from 1 species
GACGAACGCUGGCGGCGUGCCUAAUACAUGCAAGUUGAGCGCUGAAGGUUGGUACUUGUACCCACUGGAUGAGCAGCGAACGGGUGAGUAACGCGUGGGGAAUCUGCCUUUGAGCGGGGGACAACAUUUGGAAACGAAUGCUAAUACCGCAUAAAAACUUUAAACACAAGUUUUAAGUUUGAAAGAUGCAAUUGCAUCACUCAAAGAUGAUCCCGCGUUGUAUUAGCUAGUUGGUGAGGUAAAGGCUCACCAAGGCGAUGAUACAUAGCCGACCUGAGAGGGUGAUCGGCCACAUUGGGACUGAGACACGGCCCAAACUCCUACGGGAGGCAGCAGUAGGGAAUCUUCGGCAAUGGACGAAAGUCUGACCGAGCAACGCCGCGGGAGUGAAGAAGGGUUUCGGAUCGUAAAACUCUGUUGGUAGAGAAGAACGUUGGUGAGAGUGGAAAGCUCAUCAAGUGACGGUAACUACACAGAAAGGGACGGCUAACUACGUG